UGGCCAAACUACCCUACAGACCGCGAUAACCUCGGGAAACUGAGGCCAAUAGCCGGAUAUAACUCUCAGGCUGGAGUGCCGAGAGUUAGAAACGUUCCGGCGCUGUAGGAUGUGGCUGCGGCCGAUUAGGUAGAUGGUGGGGUAACGGCCCACCAUGCCGAUAAUCGGUACAGGUUGUGAGAGCAAGAGCCUGGAGACGGUAUCUGAGACAAGAUACCGGGCCCUACGGGGCGCAGCAGGCGCGAAACCUUUACACUGCACGACAGUGCGAUAGGGGGACUCCGAGUGUGAGGGCAUAUAGCCCUCGCUUUUCUGAACCGUAAGGUGGUACAGGAACAAGGACUGGGCAAGA
rnacentral:rRNA from 1 species